AGAGUUUGAUUCUGGCUCAGGAUGAACGCUGGCGGCGUGCCUAACACAUGCAAGUCGAACGGGUUAAGGGAAUUUCGGAUGGAACUUACUUAGUGGCGGACGGGUGAGUAACGCGUGGAUAACCUGCCUCACACUGGGGGAUAGCAGCUGGAAACGGCUGGUAAUACCGCAUAAGACCACAGCACCGCAUGGUGCAGGGGUAAAAGAUUUUAUCGGUGUGAGAUGGAUCCGCGUCUGAUUAGCCAGUUGGCGGGGUAACGGCCCACCAAAGCGACGAUCAGUAGCCGGCCUGAGAGGGUGAACGGCCACAUUGGGACUGAGACACGGCCCAAACUCCUACGGGAGGCAGCAGUGGGGAAUAUUGCACAAUGGGCGCAAGCCUGAUGCAAGCAACGCCGCGUGAGUGAAGAAGUAUUUCGGUAUGUAAAGCUCUAUCGGCAGGGAAGAAAGGCCCGAAAGGGAGAUGACGGUACCUGACUAAGAAGCCCCGGCUAACUACGUGCCAGCCGCCGC
rnacentral:rRNA from 1 species